rnacentral:rRNA from 1 species
GACAGAGGGGGCAAGCGUUGCUCGGAAUUACUGGGCGUAAAGGGCGCGUAGGCGGGAUGGCAAGUCGGUCGUGAAAUCCCUCGGCUCAACCGAGGAACGUCGAUCGAUACUGCUGUUCUUGAGGAUUGCAGAGGAGACUGGAAUUCCCGGUGUAGCGGUGAAAUGUGUAGAUAUCAAGAGGAACACCUGAGGUGAAGACGGGUUGCUGGGCCGACACUGACGCUGAGUGCGCGAAAGCCAGGGGAGCAAACGGG